rnacentral:rRNA from 1 species
UACGGAGGAUCCAAGCGUUAUCCGGAUUUAUUGGGUUUAAAGGGUGCGUAGGCGGAAUUGUAAGUCAGUGGUGAAAGCCCUUCGCUUAACGAAGGAACUGCCAUUGAUACUGCAAAUCUUGAGUACAUUUGAUGUGGGCGGAAUGUGUCAUGUAGCGGUGAAAUGCUUAGAUAUGACACAGAACACCGAUUGCGAAAGGCCAGCUCACAAAACUGUAAACUGACGCUGGAGGCACGAAAGCGUGG